AUAAGUUGCCUAAAUAAAUAUUUUACUAUUUAAUGAUGUUUGUUAUGUGCACGUUUCGAUGAUUAUUGGUAAUUAAGCUAUGCAUGUUGAUACAUUGGUACCUUGUUUGGGAUAUUAUGUCCAAAUACAAUGUGUAUCUAUGUGUGGAAGAGAGUUGGCUAUUAAAGAGGAAAGAUUGGUGCACAUGUAGUGGGGGACUAAGUACUUGAUCAGUUUAUCUUUCUUUUUUGUUCCGUGUUUGAUACUCCAAUUGAAGCCUGAUACUAUAAAGCUUGUUUCACGUUGAAAAAUUUUAUAUUAAAAUGAAACGCUUAAGAUAAAUGAUUCUAUACCUGAAAAAUUUGAUCUCGAUCUCAAUCUCUCAUUAAAAAUGGGGGUUCUUAUUAUUCCAACGUAACCUCUGGUUGGUGUACUUGUUCAGUAUAACUCAUAAAUUAUCUUGUAUUAAUUUCAACUAUUAUAAAAUGGAUGUUUUUUUUUAAGUUACGUUUUCUAUAGUGACAUUUCAAAAGAGUUGUAUAGAAGUCAAAUUAUAUCCAACUAUUUAGAAUCAAUGGUAAUUUGAAAGAAGUUAAGUUAGCUAAACCUAUACUAAUUGUACGUAUAAAAAUGUGAACGUUGGAGCUAGAUAGAUUAUGUUAAUUUUGUGAAAAUCCUCUACAUCAUCGGUAAAUAUAAGUAAAAGGAGAUAUAAAGGACCCUGUGUCCAAUAUAAAUUACUUUUUGUGUCUCAAUUUAUGUGACACGAAUUAUAUUUAGAAAGUCAGUAAAAUUUUUACAUGUUCUUUUAAUUUAUAAUAUUUUUUAUAUAAUUUUCAAAUAAAUAUAAGUUACUCUGUCUCAAUUUAUGACAUUGAUACAAUUUCAGUCAACUAAAUUUUUAUAUAUCUUUAAAUAUUUUAAAUUGUUAAUUAUUGUAUUUAUAGUACUUUUUAUAUUAUUUUUUCAAAUAAUAUAUUACACUUCUUUUGUUUCAAUUUAUGUGAAACUAAUAAAACUUUGAGAAUAAAUCAAAUUUUUGUGUCUUUUAAAUAUUUUAAGUUAUUAAUAUUAUGAUUUUUAUUACUUUUUAUGUGAUUUUUAAAUACAUAAAAUAAAUAUAUGUUAUCUAACAGUAUGAAAUAACCAUAAAAAGGGAGGAGUCAAUCAAAUUGGCCCCUUUGUCUUUUAGAAGUAAGGAGAAUUCAUCAUUGAAAAGCAUUACUAAUUUUAAUUUAGAAAAAAAAAAAUUGAAUUGGAUUAGUAUUUCAAAUUAUUAUACGUGGAAUAGCAAAGAAGUAAUAUAGCAAAGUCAAUGAUCAAAUUAUCUGUUACGCAUAAUUCACAGUUUGGAAAUUCCGUCGAGUUGUCAACGUGUUAAUUAUACCUGUCCACAGUUGAAGGUUUCACUAGCUAGUGACGGCGUAGGAUGAUGCACGUUGCUAUUAAAAGAAAUACAUAUGUACCACUAUUAUACGUAUUGAGUUAUACCAAUUUAUAAUGAUUGAAUGACAAAAUAAUUAAAAAUAUGUAGUACAUUUUCUGGUUAAAUUUAUGUGAUUUUAUUUUGUUUGUGAUUCAAAUAAUAUUUAGAUCCACAUUUACAAUGUGAUUUCAUCAUAUUUGACAUGAGAAUAAUCAACAAUUUAAGUUUAUUUUUAUGAUUUUGAAUAUUAAAUUUUAAUUUAAAAUAAGUAUCUUUAAAAAUUAUUUUCCAAAAUUAAAAAGUGCCACAAAAUUUACAAGCGAGGGAAUAGUAAUUAUUUUUGACCUUUUGCUAAAAGUUCGCACCUUUUAAUUUUCUUGAUAAUUCGAACCCGUGUGGGAGGCGAAAGAUGCUUGUCAUGAGGGAAAAGUAAUUAACCAUUGUUAAGUGAUAAUUUUUAUAUUUGUUGAUGUGAAUUGUGGCAAACAUGUUGUAUGGAACGAAGUGUUGGUCAGUUAAGAAUUCUUACAUUCAAAAGUUAAUGGUGGUGGAGAUGAGGAUGUUGCGAUGGAUGUGUGGACUUAUCAGGAGUGAUAAGGUUAGAAAUGAGAUUAUUCGGAAAGAAGGUGACAUUCGGUUCGAUAGAGGCAAGAUGAGAAAAGUGAAGUUGCAAUGGUUCAUGCAUGUGAUGAGGAGAGGCACAGAUGCUCCAGUCCAAGGGUGUGAGAGACUGACUAUGGAUGAUUUCAGGCAGGGCAGAGGUAGACCGAAGAAAUAUUGAAGGGAGAUGAUCAUUAGACAUGAUAUGGAACAGUUACAUCUUACGGAUGACAUGACCUUGAUAGGAAAGUGUGGAGGACGCGAAUAGGGGUAGAGGUUUAAUGGGUAAGAGUUUGUCAGUAACAGUAAGUAAGAGUACUUUUGUUUGUAUCUACAUUUGUAGUUGCUUGUUCGUGGUGUUUUGGUGAUGUCUUCAAUUUUGAAUAGAUAAUUUAUAGUACUACCUUGUGGGUGCCUUGUUUUCAUUAUUAUCUACUAGUAGGGUGUUAUCUCAUUUUUGUUGUGUGUUUUUAUGUUUUCUAUUUUUUUUAGUUUGUUUGUUAUUUGUCCUGAGCCGAGAAUCUAUCGGAAACAACCUCUCUAUAUAUUUUAUUUGAGGUAAUAGUAUAAACUGCAUACUCUUUAUUCUUUUUAAAUUCCGGUUUGUGAGAAUAUAGCAGGUAUGUUUGUUGUUGUUGAUGACUCGAUGUGAAUUGUGAUACACAGUGAGUGCAAAUAAUGUCUUUAGCUUAUAAUAAUGGUGAUGAUCAAAGCAUAGGCAAGUGACAGUGGCUGUAGAAUUUGUGGUUAAAUUGAGUUCAUACUUUAUUGGAAGCAUCGUGUGGGCAGCUCACCAGAAUAUAUUAUCCUUCCAGAUGGCAUGCUUCUCAACUCAACAGAUCUGUUCUCUAUUUCUUCUAAAAAUCCAUUGAAAAAUUAUGUCCAAGAGUUAAAAGUAAUUUCCAUUUUUUCUUCUCUCUUUUUUCUAUUGGCUUACGUUGUUUUCUAUACUAGUAAAAGAUGGUAGUUCAAGAACCUAACUAAACUUGAGGGUGCCAAAGGGAGAAUGAAAUGGAGACACAUUUUGCCACUUGACUUAUGUUUAGGGCACGAAGUACAGAUUCAAUUGUUACUAUAUAUAUUUAAAAUUUAAUUAUUAUCAUUUGAAUUCAUCAUUCUGAAAUUUAAAAGUUACAUAGUUAAAAUCCAUACUUAAAUGAUAAUUUUUUCUCAAUUUAUUUAUCUUAUUUUUCUUAUUCGUGUGUUUCGAAAAAUAUGUCUUUUUUCCUUUUUGGCAAUUCCUUAAUUCUAAGUAAACAUUUGAUAGUAAGAAUUUUUUACUUUUUUCUAAAAAAUUAUUUUAUUUUAGUGAAAAAAAUUAAAAUAGUAGUGUUUGAUCAUAAUAAUUAUUUUUGAAAAAGUAAAUUUUCACUUCUAUUUCUCUCACAAAAUUUUAAAACACAACUUCAAUUUAUAUCCAUGGUCAAACACAACACCAGCUCCAGCUCCAACUCCAACUUUAAAAAAUUGUUACUUUCAUGACUAAACGAGAGGCCUAAUUUUUCAUUCGAUAUAUUUAAGUUUAUAAACUUAAUAAAUAUUUUGUCACAUUUCACAUAUCUUAAUUUCAAAUCAUUUUUAAAAAAAAAAAAAAUACUUUUUAAAUAAUAUAUCAAGUCAUUAUCGAAUACACAAAUUAAAAUUGAAGCAGCAGUAUGCACCAAUAAAAAUAGUGAGGGCAGGAAAUGCAGGUUAUAAUUAUGAUGUAUCGAGUGUGAAAGUAUGCCAUUUGCCUGCCAUUAUACCAGCAAUACAUUACCACAUCCUCCUAUUAAAAUAGACUUCAUCUUCUAACGCCUAAAUAAACUUCAUGUUCAUUUGUGCAAUAGCUCCUUUAUAACGAUUCAACUGAACUCUCUCACUAUUUUUCUAAAAAAAAAAAUUAAUAGGUAUUUAGUGAAUCUUUUAACACAUACAAAUGAUCUAAGCUAGAGGCGAGGCUAGAGGGAUGGAAGGGGGUUCGUUUGAAUCUCUUUGGAAACAAAAAACACACAUUUUAUAUAUUAGAAUAAUUAACUUUUAUUUGUUACGUAAGUUAAGUUCUUGAUAAAAAAUUUCUUUCACCGCUAACACGCAAAUUACAUGUAGAUAUACCUCUGGCUUUUACCUUGUAAUGGCGCAGUAAUUUUGACUGAUACUCGACUUUGCUAAUAUGAAACUAUGACAUCAGUGUCCAUGCCUUAAAGACAAUUUCAUAAUUUUAUUUUUCAGUUACUGAAUUUUUAUCACCUAAACUCCUCAAUAAUUUAAAAAAGCUAGUUGACUGAUCAACUGGGAAUUCAACUUCAAGAACUGCAGAGUAGUGCAGACAAUUUGUUAAUGGUCUAAGACGUGUAAUUAAGUACUACUACUUAAUUGGAAAUAAUUGAUUGGUGAACCGUUAAGUAUAGUAACUACUUGUCGACUUUUAAUUUUUGUUUCAUAUAACCACCGUUUCAUGUUCUAUGGUUGUUGAUAAUAUAAUGCCCACAUUCAAAUAAAAACAAGCAUACCUACUAUACUUUGAACUAAUCUCACUUAUGGUUUCAACCGUAUAUUGAUAUGAAUGAACUAACACACGUUUGUAAGACAAGUGCAAAUGGUCCAAGUCAAAUCAUCAUAUAUAUGUAUCAAGGAUUAGUUAGUGCUAAUUAUAUUUGAUAUUUAACUGCUUUUUUAACCCAACCAACAACCACAACAAACAUAGUAACUAUAGUUCGACCAAGGCUUUACCCCUACUUCGUGAAGAUAGAGAGGUUGUUUUUAAAGGAUCUUCGGCUCAUGAGCAACAAAUCACAGCAAUUAAUGAAUAAGGGAAUAAGAUGGUAAAAUGACGUUUUUUAACGAAUCCUAAAAGAAAAAAAUGAAUUAAACAGGAUUUAACUAUAAAGUUUCGGACUAAUGAGACUUCGAUCAAGUAAUUGAGCACCUUCAACAUCAACCGGGAGGCUUGAGAAUUUGAGUCAUGCCAAAGAGUAAGUGAAAACAAAUUUUGACCCUCUUAUUGGUGGGGUGGGAAAAAAUAGAAAAACAAAAAGUUUGGCAACCCAAUUGGCAAUCAUAUCAACGAAGGACUAGGUGGCCUUACAAAUCAAGUUGAUUUUUUUAAGGAUAGUUCCUUUUCCAGAUUACGAUUAAUCUUUCAUCUUUGCAUAGUGAUCAUUUAAAGGAAAACAGCAAAAAAAUAAGUUUAUUAGACAAAUUAUACUCGUUAACAUAGAGUAUUACGUAAAUAAAAAGAAUUGAGAAACUUAAAAAGGAAAUGAAUGGGGAUAUUAGAAGUAAGAAGCUUAAAAUAAAGGAAAAAUUAUCUAAAAGAACAACUUAUGUUUCAAAACUACUAAAAAUUCCUUCACUUUUAAAAUAUUACAUAUAUCCCAACAUUUACUACUUUUACUAAAAGUUGAGAUACAAGUUUAAGAUCUCAUAUUCAUACGCUUUAUUUUACCAAAACAAGACCCCUUUUUCUUUCUCAUUGUACGUCAUAAUUUCAGCUACAGUUUCAAUCCAUUCUUUCCCUCUAAUUCAAACUUUUGAAUUAAAGUAAAAUUUCAUAUUCACUGUCUUCUUGUCAAAAAGGAGAUAAAAAGACCUAGCUCUCUUACUCUCUCUUCUCCCAGGCGAUCUCAAUGGAAGUUUAGCCCUCAAUGACUGCGGCUGCUUUACCCCAAAUGAUCUAGAUACACAAACUUAUGCGACACUAUUCAAAUCAACUCCUUGCACAUUUGGGAAGGAAUUUCAAUUGUAAUCUGUUGAUAUAAUCAAUAGUGAACCUAUUAUUCUAUUUGAACCAUCUGAUAUUAUAUUCAAGGUUAUGUUAAAGAGGAAAAUUUUCAAUAUGCUCUUGCUGCAAAGUUUUCCUGUGGGAGGCCAUCGGCAAUAACCCUAAGGGGUAAGACGAUAACCCUUGAAGUUGAAUUCAGCGAUACCAUCAACAACAUCAAGGCCAAGAUUUAAGACGACGAAGGUAUUCCACCGGACCAUCAGCGACUGAUCGUUGCUUGUACAAAAAAGAUUCUUUAUAAAAAAUAACCCACUUUUUCCUCUUUGUACGCCACAAUUUGUGGAGCGGUUUCUAUCCAACUUCUUCAUUCAAUUCAAAACUUGUAGCAAGGUAAUUUUCCUCCCUAAAAUCCGAUUCAAUUUCUUCUAAUUAUUUUUACGUUUUUUUUUUCAAAAAAAAUAUUUUGCACUUAAGUUUACAAAGUAAAAUUUUGGUGAUUUGGUUGAGCAAUUUCUUCGAUUAAUUGUUUUUUAGGCUUCAUUGUUUGAAUUGCCAUCAUGAAUAGAGAUUUGGGACCUUCCUUUAAUAUUCGGAUUUCUCAAUUAGAAAGUAUCAAAGAAUCUCAUGAAGUUGUUAACUUCGUUUCCACAAGUUUUGAUUAUGAAUUUGUUGACUUUGAUGAAAAUAGAUUAAAGCAUAGAAACGAUCCCCAAAUUAUGAAGAAAUUGUGGAAAAAGCAUUCUAAGGACAAGAAAAAAGAAAGUGGUUCUAACAAAAAGGGAUCCAACAGUCCUGAAAAUAAAGCUCCUGCCAAGAGAAAAAGAAUUGUCGAAGCAAUUUCCAGAGAUGAACUUCCCAAGGUAAUUGCAUGUUCAAAUCUAUGAAUUUUAGGCCAAGAUACAUAUUUUGGGUUGCAUGAUACGUUUAGAAUUUCAUUGUGUAUUUGUUUUUUUGUUGCUAAGUUAUUUGUAUCUUGUGUAUUUUAUUUUUUAUUGAAAUUAACAUAACAAAAUACAAGUUCAUAGGUACAUAGAUACAUGUUAAGUGGACUUAUAUAUGUGAGUGAUCAUUAAUGCUUUGAUUUGUAUCUAGUUUUGUUCAAUUUUACUUAAAGUCUAAAUAUAUUAGAUACAUGUUUUUAUUUCUAAGAUACAUGUUAUAUUAACUUGUAUUUGUGAGUUACUGUUAAUGUUUUGAUAUGUUUCUUGUGUUGUCUAAAUGGUAUUGAAAGUAGAAUUACACAAGAUACUUUUUUUCACGUUGAGAUACAUGUUGUAGAUAUUAAGCAUACAUUUGUAUAAUCUUGUAUCUAAUGUUUUAUGUUCUUAGUGCUUUUAUAUAUAUUGUAUUGUCUUAGAGUAAACUUGUUGCCUCUCAAAUAAUUUUUUUAUUUAUUUUUUUAUUUUUAGGGAUUGAAUUACGUUACAAGUAUGUUAUAACAAGUUAAAUGCAUUGAUAAUGUAAAAAUAUUUUUACAUUAUUUGUUUAUAAAAGUUAAUUUAAUAUUAAAUCCUUAGAUGGGGAGCUCUUGUGCAUCCUAAAUUCUGCACAUGAUCAGACAAUAGCUAGACUAGCCCCCGUUUUGUAUUAGAUACAUAAUAACAAAACAUGUGUCUUUCUGUAUUAAUAUGUAUCUCGUUCAUUAUCUGAAGCAAUUGUUUAUUACCUGCAUUAAUCACAUUAGAUACAUAAAAUAUUUAAUUUGUACCUCUUUCAGUUUUAAUGAUUACGGUAGGCUGAUGUAACAUAUAUUUCAUUUGUUUGCAAUUUGAAUAGCAUCUGGAUGUCAUCAUGUACUACUUGAGGAAGAAGUACAAGAACAAGAAUUUUUCAAGCAAGAGAUACACUAUCACAGAUUGCUUUUUCAAGGUGUACAUCGAUAAGGCAUAUGUGAAUUACGAUGAUGCUGACGCUGGCAACGAGCUUGCCACACAAGAUGCAUCUACAAAGACUGAUGAGGUUGCUGAUAUGGAGAUGACAUUGAUUAACACCAUCAAGGGAUUCAGUCCGCGCGCAGGUCAGCCUUGGCAUUUGGUUAAUGAGGUCUUUGUCUCAAUUAACUGUGAUGGUGCCUUUCACUGGAUAUUGGCACGCAUUGCAUUAAAGGAUCGAUGCAUUGGUGUGUACGAUUCAAUGGUCUCUUCACAAAAACAUUGUUGAUGAUAUAAACUUUGAUGAUGUUAGUGAUGUUUAGACAAGUAUACAUUAAGUUUUUUUAAUGAAUAAUUACUUCUAUUUGCAUUAACAUUCUAACGCAAUGCUAAAUAACAUAAAGAUAUAUUUAUGUUAUCGUUAUGAUAUUUUUUUCACGCAAUAAAUAGACAUUGUAUUGACUACAUGUUUUACUAUAUUUUAUAAUUUUAUGUAUCUAAAAUAAAGAAAGAUAUAUUCCAAUAUAGGUAUUAACCAUCACAACAUUGUCGUAUUAUCUAUAAUAAUUUUUUGUUAUAGAUAAUUCAUGUUGUCUCUUACAUACAUACCAUAUUAUAUCAUAACUUAAUAGAACUAAGUCUUAAAAAUAUUAACCUAUUACAUUUUACAUGUGAGACAAAUUAUUAGAUCUUGUAUCUAUUACUUUAUAUGAGAUACAUCUUCUCAAAUUGUAUGUAUCUAUUAUAAGAAAAUUAUUUUACUAUAUAAUCAUAGUAACCAACAAAUUAUUACAUUUCUAUGUAUCUACAACCCUUUUUAUCAAUCGAAAAAGAUGUUUGACUAUAACCUGCAUAACAAAUUCUAGCAGAACUUAUAUUACUAAAUCUUAAUAAUAUUGACAAAUUAUAUUUUACAAACGAUGCAUGUUUGUUAAAAUUUAAUGGAGAUACAUACUAUAAAAAUGUGUCUAUUUUCUAUCGUUCACUAUGGCAGAACUACUAAUAGAAUGUAUAAUAACAUUGUCAGUUCAAUAUAUCUAAAUUUCUACUUUAUGUGUUACCGAAAAAUACACCAUCAAAAUAUAUAUAUAACUAAAUAACAAAUUAACAAAGAAUGCUAUUUAUUUCGAUAAAUGUAUUUUUCUAAAUUUCAUAAAAAAACAAAAAUCUCAUUAACUAAAAUGUCGAACAAAAUAGAUAAAAAAAUCCAGCAACAUUCCGAGGAACUAUUCAACAUUAUUCAUUAGUAAACUACAUUUGUCACUCCUUCUUUGGAAAGAAUUUGCAAGUGAGCCUGUUGUGACCUUUAUAACCACAUCUCUCGCAACAAUUACUGUUCGAUGUCAUUGUUUCACUUGAUUUCUUGUGCAUGUUUUUCUUUGGCCUUCUAGGUUGUCGUUUGUAUUUAGGUGGUAAUACAACUUACCAGGAUAAUGCUUUAAAUGUCCAAACAUAAUCCUCUAAACAGCAUCGUAAGAUAUAACUGAAUCAAUGAAAAUAAAACGUCAACUUUAUAACCUUCAGUUACUUUUAAACUGUAUAAUAAGACAUCAAUAUAUUCACCAAAAUUCAUAAUUAGACAUCAAUAUAUUAACCUAGAUAAAAGAUGAUCAAAACGUAUCUUUUAUAUAAAGAUGUAUAUCGACCAAAUUAACAUAACGUCAUGACUAAAACACAAGAAAUAUAAUUAAACAUAACUUCAUAAACGGAGAUACAAGACGGAGCAAAAUGUAUCAUUUUCAUAACAAAAUGUAUCUCGGCGUGAAACUUGUACAACAUGUAUCUAGGACAUUUCUAUUAUAUCUUUGACCUUCCAGGUUGACGUUUGUAUUUAGGUGGUAACGCAACUUACCGAGAUGAUGCUUUAAAUAUCCAAACAUAAUUCUCUGAACGGCAUCUUAAGACAUAACUGAAUCAAUGAAAACAAAAAUUCAACUUUAUAACCUUCAGUUACUUUCAAACUGUAUAAUAAGACAUCAAUAUAUUCACUGAGAUACAUAAUUAGACAUCAAUAUAUUAACCUAGAUACAAGAUGAUCAAAACGUAUCUUUUAUCAUAAAAAUGUAUAUCGACCAAAUUAACAUAACGUCAUGACUAAAACACAACAAGAAACAUAAUUAACCAAAACUUCAUAAACUAAGAUACAAGAUUAGCAAAAUGUAUCAUUUUCAUAACAAAAUGUAUCUAAGCGUUAAUAACAUAAAAACACAAAAACAAUCUGUAAAAUAAUCAUCAACCAAACAUUUAAUACAAAUUUAAAUUAAUGUACAACAAAUUAACAACACGCUACAAAAAAAAAAUAAUUAACAUAACUUUUCUUGACCAAUCUUUUGGCAUAAUAAUUGAAAGAAUUCUCAAUUGCAAAUCGCGUCAUAAUCGAAAUGAGAGUACUCUUGUCUAUUUUUUUCCUUGUUUCGUCAAUUUCAAGUCUCCCGCAAUUAUAGAAAUCAGUUUUUCGUAAGUAACAUGUUCACUGACCAGAAUUUCAUCACUCUUAUAACCAACAUACUUGAUUUCGUCAACCCAAACACCAAAAUGAUGUAAAAGCACCGAAAUAUUCAUAUCAAACAACCGAAAAUAACAAAUGAAAAGUUUAUGAAGAUUUAUCAAUUUCAAAAAUAUAUUAAAAGAGAGUUUAUGUUUUAACAAAGUGGAGUAAUAAACGGAUUCCCAUUAAUUGUGGGAUUUGAUUUUGUUUUUUUACCUUAAUUAGUUAGCUUUAAUGUUGAUUUGAUGGAAAGUUAUCUGUUGCAUUCCUUAAAAAGUGUUGACUUAGUUAAUUAAUAUAUGUAUCAGCAGUAUGUAUCUAAUGUGAUUAACUUGUAUCAUCAGAGGUCAAAUUUUGGGAUUUUAGGAGAUUUUGAAAAAAGUUGGAUUUUUAGUAAUUAGUAGUAAACAUGUCGUUAUAUAUGUAAUUUUUACUAAAAUAAAAGCUUUAUGGCAUUCGUUUGAAGUUAGGAAAAAUUAAGUUUGCAAACUAAGUUUUUAAUUUUACUUUUUGCCAAAAAUGUUUGCUUGACAUGUUUUCGUUUGAUCGACGUUUAAUUUUAGAGUUAUUGAAAUUACGAUAACAGAACUGAUAUAAUUCAUUUGCCUAUAAACAAAUAAUUAAGAUAGAUAUUGGAAAACAUGAAAUUUCAUAACAAUUAGUUGAUCAAGACGGACGUAUAUGCAAGUAUGAUUGAUAAUGACAGGAUAUAAGAUAAUAAUCAAAGUUGUGAUGAAAUAAUAAAUAUUCUUACAAGUGAUUUGAGAGUGUAUCCAAAUGUGAGACUUUCAGAUGCAACUUUAAAUUUAAGCGAAUUUCAAUACAGUUAUCGACACCAACUAAGAAGAAUUAUAAAAUAAAAUAAAAUAAAAACAUAGAACUUUAUCUGAUUUUGGGGUCCAUUAGUGGAGUCUCAAUCUGAUGUGUACAUUUUUUUUUAACGUUAUUUUUUAUGUCAUCCUCCCUAAAUGACAAGGGGAAAUUGAAAGGGCGAGGGAGAAACUUUAUGGAUAAGAAUUCCUUAUCAAGCUUAUUGAGACCAUGAAUUUAUCUAAGAAAUAAAAAACUUUGCACUUAAUAGUUUCUAUGGGACAUCAUAUAUGCUGGCAUGGCAUGUUAUAUAUAUCUUUUUUAAGUAUACAUCAAAGUGAGCACCUACUUAUAUGCAAACAUAUCUUCUAAAAUAACAUAGAAUGUGUGCUACUACGGGAAUUAAGAUCCUCCUUGAUAAUUAUUAAAUCAACUAUCUCAUACUUAUCCCAAUCCUUGCUGAAAUCAGAACAGGACUAUAAGCGAGAAUAAAUAAGAAUAUUAUCAGGUGUUCAAGAGAGUUGUUGCUAAAUGUUUGGACUUCCAUCAUUUUAUUACUUCAUCCAUUUCUAAAGUUUAUUACAUGUUGAAAUUCAAGUAAAUGAUUUGAACUUCAAUUAUAUAUAAUAGAUUCGAAGUUCGACUAAAUUAUUGAAGUGGGUAAAAAUUUUAAAAUUUAAAUUCUAUCAAUAAUGUCUGAACUUCAAAUAUAUAAAACUUCAGGUACAUUAGUUGAAAUUAAACUUUAUAUUUUUGAUAUCGUUUGUUUGAAGUUAUUUCCAAGUAGAUAGACAUUUGAAAAUAUAUAUAUAUAUAUAUAUAAAAGUUAAAUGACGACGUGAAAAUCGUGUGUAUACUUUGCUCAAAGAUACCGCUUGGGCUAAAACAUGUCAACGCAUUGAAUCUGAGAUUAUUCGGCCUACCCCUCAGCUAGUGACCACAUGAAAGAAAUGACCCGAGUUAGUCAUGAUAUAUUGUCUCUUACAAAAAAAAAAAAAAUGAUCUUCAAAAGAAAUAAUUUUGAUUUUUUGGCCUUGUUUUUUAAUUUUUUCUCAUAAGACAGACGUUCAUGACAUUUCAAAUCAAUAAACUAGCACAAAACAUAUAGACAAAGGUUAAAGCUCAGGUAUGUUGCCCACACGGUAGAUGUUCAUGACAUUUCAAUACAGUAGAAUUAUUCAAUUAACCACAAGUUCUGUGUUAUAGACAAACAUAAGAACUUAUUUAGGACAUAUAGAAAUUUAAGACCACAUACUUUGGGCGACAAAAAUUUAAAAUCGUAUAUUUAGGAGUCAAAAAUUCAAGAUCACACACUUUGAGAACACUAGAUAUAAUUUCCUGCAUGAAGUUGGUUGCCCUAGUCAGUGAGGUUGAAUAUUUGCAAAUUAGCUUUAAACAAUGUAUAUAAAUAAGGAAAAAUUGUGUGGUGUGGAUAAAAAACUUCAAAAUUAUCUGUCAUGAUCAAUAUUUAAAUAAUUACGGUACAUGGCUGCGAUUUUUUAGUUAUUUUUAAUACUAGUCCUUAUUUUAAGUUAUUUUUCCUCACCUGAUUGACUUACUUUUUUCUCUAAUCUCUCUCGCCUAAUUAAAAGCAAAGAUUUCUCUCUCUCCUAAAAAUAGCAUUGUUACUUUUUCUUUAGGUAUUGUUGUAUUUUCUAACUUCUUCUUCAUCAAUUUUGUCUUUAAUUUUGGUACAAUUUCUCCAUUCUUGCAGUGUUGAUUAGGGUUUUAAGUAAUUGUUAUAACUAAAUCAAAUGAAUGAGAACACUUAAUUUAAGGGCAUUUUUUCAUUUAUGUCUUUAUAUCUGCAUAUGAAUGUAUUGGGUGUGUGUUUUUUUAUGUAUAUAUGAAUAUUUUUGUAUACCUAUGUAUAUACAAGUUUGUUCUGUUUUGAUACACAUAUACAUAUUUAUAUACAUUAGUUAUGUGUUGGUUCGUGUAUACAUUAUGAUUGUUAACCGGGCCGGUUCGGUUCAGAGCGGCACCGACCCACAAAAAUUAAUCAGUUUUGGACCAGGUCCGGUAACGAAUUAGUAUUAACGGACCGGUCCGGGCUCAAACAGUAAAUUUUGCUCAAAUGGACCAGAAUCGGUCCACUUAAGAAUUAUCCGGUUUUGAUCGGUCAAAACCGGUCAAUUUUUAAAAAAAUAAAUAAAUUCAUAUUUUCAUAUAUUUUUCAAUAUAUACACACCUAUAUAUAUUUUAAAAACGUUAAACAAUAUAUGUACAACAUAUAAACACUAAAUAUACUACUUUAGAAAACAUAUACACACUUAUAUUUUAAAUAGAUAGUAGUUUAGAUUCUAUAGGAAAUAUAUGCACAUAUAUACGUACAAUACAAUAUAUACUACUUUAAACAAUAUACAUACAACAUAUAUACACUAAAUAUAUAUUACUUUAUAAAACAUAUACACAUGUAUACUUUAAAUAGAAACUAGUUUAGAUUCUCUAGGAAAUAUAUGCACAUAUAUACGUACAAUACAAUAUAUAUACUACUUUAAAUAAUAUACAUACAACAUAUAUACACUAAAUAUACUGCUUUAAAAAAUAUAUACACAUGUAUACUUUAAAUAGAUACUAGUUUAGAUUCUAUAGGAAAUAUAUGCACAUAUAUACGUACAAUACAAUAUAUAUACUACUUUAAAUAAUAUACAUACAACAUAUAUACACUAAAUAUAUACUACUUUAGAAAACAUAUACACAUGUAUACUUUAAAUAGGUACUAGUUUAGAUUCUAUGGGAAAUAUAUGAAUAUAUAUAAUUACAAUAUAUACAUUACACAUAAUACUAAUUUAGAAACAUAUACACAUGUAUACAUUAAAUAUAUACUAUUUUAGUCUAUAGAUAAUAUAACACAUACAUGUAGAAUAUAUAUUACUUUAAAUACCACUUGAAAUAAUAUACAUACAACAUAUAUACACUAUAUAUAUACUACUUUAGAAUUUAUAGAAAAUAUAUACACAUAUAUGUAGAAUAUAUACUACUUUAAAUACCACUUGAAAGUUGAAACAUGUAUACAUUGCAUAUUAUAGUACUUUAGAAAACACAUAUAUACAUACAAGAUUACAAUGUAUGCUACUUAAUAUAAUAAUAAUUGAAGUUUUGAAUAUAUAUUCAUUAUAUAUUUUCAUUAUAUUUGAACUUAAAAGAUAUUUAUUUUUUCAUUAUGUGUAUAUAUGUUUGCUAUGUUUAUUACUUGGUGUAAAGUUUGAUAGUAAUAUAUUAAAAGUAUUUAAUUCAAACUAGAACUUCAAUUUAAAUUAAAAACAUAUACACAUUAACAUAUAUACAUUACAUAUUAUAUUACUUUAGAAACUUAUACACAUUAAAUAUAUAUUGUUUUAAUCUAUAGAAAAUAUACAGACAUAUAUGUAGAAUAUAUACUACUUAAAAUACCACUUGAAACAAUAUACAUACAACAUAUAUAGUUAUAUACACACUAUAUAUAUAUAUUGCUUUAAAUACCACUUGUGUAUAUGUGUGUAUAUAUGUUUGUUAUAUAAACUGCUUUAAAUACCACUUGUGUAUAUGUGUGUGUAUAUAUGUUUGUUAUGUUUAUUACUUAGUGUAAAGUUUGAUAGUAAUAUAUUAAAAGUAUUUAAUUUAAACUGGAAAUUCAAUUUAAAUGAAAAAAUUACAAAGUAAGGAGUGAAUGAAUGUUGUAUUUUAUUGAUUGAAAAAUGAUCCAAAACUUAUAAUUUACAUGAAUGAAAAAUCUACAAAUUUUGCAUCACUUUUUCCAACUCGUUUAUGUUAAUAUUAACGGAAAUUGCCAUAGGAUAGUCAAAAUCAAUGGGGGGGAAUAUCAUGCCUUAGACUUGAUUGUGCUGAGUUCUCCCUUGAAGUCAAAAUUUCUUUAAUAUUCUGGUCGUCUUUCGGCUCCACCUUCAUUCAUUGGUUUCCUCGUUCCACUAUAAUCCAAUCUCUAAGGCAAACUAGAACAUUCAUAGAUUGCUUUUCAAUGAGUGUCAGUUGUCUCCAAGCUGUUGUCGUCUUUGACUAAAAGCGUUCUCCGAUGCAACGAUUGACAUUGGAACAUUCAAUAUAUCUCUAGCUAAUCUUGAAAGCACAGGAUAUUGUCUUUCAUUAUUCUUCCAUCAAUCCAAUGCGUUGAUCAUUGCUUUAUGAUCCUCUAUCGAUUGUCGAACAUAAUACUUAAGCUCUUCCAGAUAAUUUGUGUUGUAUGUCGAAGGAGAAACCCUGUCCCAAAUAUUUAAAUCAUAAAAGUAAUCAGGAAAACCACUAUGUGCCGGCCUUUUAAAAGAUGAUGGCUCCUCAAGAGCUUGAGGAGGGACAGUUGGAGUGAUAUUUGUCGGUACAACUACAUUAAGUAAAUCGGCACAAUGGUUAUAUAAUGCUUUUAUGUAAAUGUUCGCAUCACUUAUAGCCGUAAACAAAUCUGAUUGUUCUUCAGGCUUUAUCUCUAAGAAAUUAUAAAUAAUAGAACUAAAGUGGCACAUAGUAUUAUAUUUCAUAUAUGAAUUUAGUAUAGUACCAACCAAGUAAAUUGAAGGAAGUGGAUAAAAAUACUUUCUAAAUUUAGCAAACAUAGCACCAACAACUUCUUUGUAACCUUCUCUAUUCUUAUAUUUUUUAAGCAAACAAGAAAUGUUGGCUAAAUGAGCUAAAAUAUUACAAACAACAGGAUAAUAAGUACCGAAAAAUUCAACCGUAUCUGUAUAAAAUUUUUCCAAAAAUUUAAAAAGAUCAUCAUCAUUGCAGCCCAAUCAGAAUCAUGUAGCAUACACUCGGGAAAAGAACCACAAAAUUGAUUAAAAGUCAUUGUAAUGGAAACUUUAUAAGCAAGACAAGUUUUUAAAUAAGUAUAAGUAGCAUUCCAUCUAAUAUCACAUUCUUCAGACAUUAAUAUCGGUCUAAGUCCAUUUUGUUGACAUUUAACUUUAAAUUCUCUCACUCUACCUCUUCAAUUAUUUCAUUGAAUAAAGCCAACAGCAAGCCGGACCUUUUCAAUAUAAAACUUACAAAAUUGAAGACCAUCUUUUACAAUUAAAUUAUAUAUAUGACAAGCACUUCCUAAGCAUUUCCUACUGCGGGUGUCUCGCCAAUAUUUUCAUCAUCUUCAUCUAAAUUAACCGCAUGUCCGCAUCUAUUUCAUUUUCUUCUUCUAUACCAUAAUUUUUCUGAGCUUUUGCAUAAUCCAUAUCAUGAGCACCUACACCUAUUUCUUCCUCAAAAGGUUGACUAACAGAUAACGGAGGCACACAGGUAUAUCUAUUACUUGAACUACCUCUAUCGGAAUCGCCACCAAUUCAUUUUUUACGACCACUGCCACUUCCAGAAAAAAAUAUUUUGACACUUUUACCGAGGUUUCUUAUUUUAUCCAAAUUAAAAAAUAAACUAAAAAAUACUCCAAAUACACACAAGACAUAAAAAAAAAAAAUUCAACAAUUAAUACACUAAUUAAAAAUUAAAGGUAAGAGAUGGAACGACAAUACCAAAUUUUGAAAGUAUCCGAAAGUUGAGACUUUACAAAACUUUCACUUGUAUUUGUAAUUGCAAAAUUUAAAAAUAAAAUUGAGCACUUUAAGAGAUAAUUAGAAUAUUUGAGAGAGAAGAUUUGUGUGAAUAAUGAAUUUUGAAUUGGGGGUAUUUAUAGAAAAAAAAUAGCCAAUUGGUCGUUGGGGUGCAAACGGUUAUAAUGUCGUUGGCCCAGCGGUCCAAUUUGGCUUUUGGGGCCCAAACGGCUAAAUGUCAUUUAAGAAAAAAAAAUGUUACCGGGUCGGGUACUCAGUGGGCCUGGUCCGAGUUUGUAUCGGAUCUGGCUUACCGGCAGAGGUGAACCCAGGAUUUGAAGAGUGCGGGUGCAGCUUUAUCAUAACAUAAGCGUUCGAGAAUUUUUCACUGGCGGCUGAGGAAUAGUAUCGUGAAGGCUUAAGCAAUGACAAAAAUAUAAAUAUAUAGGCCAAAUAUGGGUUUUAGGGUAAUAUAUAAACCUUAACUCCUUAUAGAUAGAUUAGUGCAUUUAUAAUUUAAUAUUACCAAACUUUAAUUAAAAAAAAAAAACUAAAAAACGAAAGAAAGAGAUGUAUAACUGUUACCAUCAAAUGGAGAAUUGAAAUUGCUCCUUGUAACCUUCUAAAUUCAAGUUUCCACUUUUCAGGAAGUUUGGCUUUUGGAGAAAUUUGGGAAAUAUCGAAUAGGGCUUGGGGGAAAUACGGAGCUUGGGAAUUAGGAUUGGGGAAUAUCUAUUUUCUAGAUAUAAAUUAAGGGUGGUAUGGGCCAGCUGAGGUGGUUGCCUAGCAAGUGGCAAUUAAAAUGUUGUAAAUGAAAAAAAAGAGGCAUUCAUCAGGAAUCAAACCCGCAACAUUGAGACCCGAAGGAUGCUAGCAUUUGAGUUCCGGACCAAUGCACUCAAACAUAUUUGGUUAUUAAGGGUGCACAAUUAAAUAUAUUAACUCUUUAUUAGGAUAUCUAUACAUAUAUAUACAAUUUUUUAAAAAUAUUACCGGGUGCACGUGCACCCUCGCGUAACCAUGUGGGUCCACCUCUGCUUACCGGGCCAGUCAACGUGGAUGGCCCAGCCUGAGACCGACAACCCUAUAGCCUGUGGGCUCACCGGACCGAGUAAAUGGGCCGGGCUAAACGAGCUGGAACGGGCCACCCUAGCGCGUUUGACAGGUUUAGUAUACAUUAUGCACAUACACAUGUCAUAUGUGUAUGCAUCUUUUAUGUGUUACAAAUUAGAAUGGGCAUCAACGUAUAAAUGAAACUCAAAUUCGUUCACACAUAUAAUCUUCGAAAUUUAGGUUUUAAUGCUCAAUAACAAUGAGGAAUGUUGAAUAGAAUAAAUGAAGUGAAUCACUCUCCUUUUUUUUUUUUUAAUCUCUAAAUGUAACUAAAAUAAUAAUAAAAUGUACUCCCUCCGUCCCAUUUUACUUGUCCCAAAUUGGAAUGGCACAGCUAUUACGAAAAAUAAUAAAUAAUAUCACUAGUUUGCCAUAGUACCCCUAUUAAAUGAUGUUUACAUUUUAAUUUAAAGAAAAAAUAAUUAGUGCAAAGGGUAAAAUAUGGAAAAAAAAAUUAUCUUAUCUUGAUAAGUAAAAAAGGACAAGUAAAUAGGACACCAGAUUAGGAAAUUUAGGACGGGUAAAAUGGGACGGAGGGAGUAUUAAUUAAUAUUUUUAUAUUAGGAUUCUAAAUAAAUUUUGAUCACUAAUUGAAAUAUAUGAAAUGUAAUUAUUAAAAUUUAGAUUAAGAAGUUAGUUAAAAGAAAUCUAAGUUAGCUAUACUUGAAAUUUAAGAAAACCAAAAAAUGAAAAAGAUUUCUUGAAAAAUGACUUAACAGCUGUAAAAUGGGUUGGGCCACAAAUCCAAUGCUUCGUUUAAGUAGGGUUGGGCUAAGAUAUCUUUAGCCCGUUUGAAAGUGAGACUCAAUAGCCUAAACCUCUCUUGGCCCGCUAGUCUCAAAGAUUGGGCCGGGGCCAGCACGUAAGGCAAAUAAUUUUUAUUUUUUUUAAUUAAGAUAUUAAAGGAAAACGGACAAAAAUUAAUGAACUAACUACUACUAUUUGGGAGUAAAUUGAGUAACUUACAUAAAUCCCGGAUAGUUUCACCAAUAUUACAUAAAAUCCCGCAUAAUUUGCUAAUUAUAUCUUAUCCCAAAAUUUUGAAUUGUGAUACAUAUGUUAAGCAGUGAUACAUAUGGACUAGUGAUGCAUAUGUAUAUGUAUCACUAGUAUAUACAUAUGUAUACAAUAGUGAUACAUAUAGCAUCUGUUUCACUAGUAAAUAUGAAUUCAGGAUUUCAUGUAAUUUUUUAAAAUAUUAAGGGAUAUUGUGUAAUAUGGUGUCUUAAAUAUGGGAUUUGUGUAAUUUUUUCUAAAUUAGAAGUAAGGGCUUCCUUUGGUUGAAACCAAGUUAUGAAUUGUUAUUCUGGUGAACCAAACACGCGACUAAAAUAUGCCAAAAGUUAAAAAAAUAAUGAAAAUAUGCCAUUAAAUUGAAUAGUGACAAAAGUAGGUUUGGCGCACAAAAAAAGUGCACCAUCCUUUCUUUUUUUAACUGUUUGACGGAAGUUAAAAUUGAGGGGUGCACUUUUGUUUGUGCACCAUUUAUUUUUUUGUAGUGCACUUUUUUUGUGCACAAUAUGAAAAAAAUAUGUGGUGUAUUUUUUUUUAUGCACCAUUCAUUUUUUAUUAUAUGGUACACUAAUUUUGUGCACUAUAUGAAAAAAAACAUGUGAUGCACAAAAAAGUGCACCAUCCAUUAUGUAAAAAUAUAUAAUGUACUAUUUUUGUGCACCAUUCAUUUAUUUCUAUAUGAUGCACAAUUUUUAUGCACCAUCUAUUUUUUUUUUAAUUAUGUGCACUAUAUGAAGAAUAAUAUAUGGUGCACUAUUUUUGUGCACCAUCCAUUUAUUUUCACAUUAUGCAAAAAAUUAUUGCACUAUAUUUUUUUUUUAUCAUAUAUGAACAUAAUUAGUGCAUUAUAUAUUUUCUUUCAUAUAUUGCAAAAAAUAGUGUACUAUUAAUUAUUUUUGAUAUAGUGGACUUAUUUUGUAUAUUAUCCAUUCUAUUUUAUUUGUUUAUUUAAUAUAUUACAUUAUUUAAAUAAUUUUUUUUAAUAUAUAGUUAUUUAAGUGUACUUUUAUUUUUUCUUUAUUUAUUUUAUAUAACACUAUUUAUUGCACUUUUUUUAUUUAGUACUUAUUAAUUUAUUUCAUAUAGUGCAAUAAUUUUUUUGGUCAUAUAUUGUUCUAAAAUUUGAAUUUGUUUUUUUAAUUUUGUCAUAUGUUGCACUAUUUUAUUGUAAUGUCUAUUAUUUUUCAUGUAGUGCAUCCGAAUAGUUACUAUCUAGCAUUUUGGUGCAUUAUCUACAUUUUUCAUAUAACAUCGUAAAUUUUUAAUUUUGUAUAUACUAAAUUGACAUUUUCUUUUAUUGUAUAUAUUAAAUUUGCACUUUAUUUAUAAAUUUUUUUACACAACGCACUAAAUUUGUGCACUGUUUAAUAUUUUUAUAUAACAGAUAGUGAUCUUAUAUAGGGUUGUGCAAAAAUUGAACCUACCGAUAAGUUGAACCUAUAAAAAUGUUAUUGGUUUAUUAUUAUUGGGUUAAUGAUUUUUUAAUGAUUUUAUAAAAAAAAUUAUUGGGUUAUUGGUUCGAUUCGAUUUUUUCUUAUUGGGUUAUUGGGUAAACCGAUAACCCAAUAAGAACACACACACACACACACACAUAUAUAUAUGACUUAUUAGAUAUUUCUCUUAAUUUCUCUUUAAUCUCUACAAAUUAAGAAACUUAUUUUUUAAAUUACACAAACUCUUAAUUUCUCCUAACAACAUUUAGUUCAAACUUGAAGAUUCUUGUAAAUUAAAACACAUUAUGUAGGUUUUUUGUGUGCACUAAGAUUCGAUUAUUUUUCAUGUUAGUUACUACUAUUUCUAUUUUAUGAGUAUUUUCUUAUCGGUUAAAUCAAAAAUCGAACCGUUAAGGACUAAAAAUUGAUAAACCGAUAAAAAAUAUCUUAUUGGUUUGGUUAUUGGUUUAGCAUAUUUAAAAAUCAAAAAUCGAUAAAUCGAACCGGUAAUAGGUAAAACUGAAUCGAACCGAUUGAUGCACACCCCUAAUCUUAUAGGCUGCAACAGAUAACCUACAACAGAUUAGUGAUCUGUUUUUAUUGUUUCUAACAAAUUACUCAUCCGCUGCAACGAGUUGGUUAUGUGCGGCAACGGAUAACCUACCUGGUGUAACAAAUAAGUGAUCUGUUUUUAUUAUUUUCAAUGGAUUACUCAUUCGCUGCAACAGGUUGGUUAUAUGCUGCAAUAGAUAACCUACCUGGUUCAACAGAUUAGUGAUCUGUUUUUAUUAUUUUCAACGGAUUACACAUCCGCUGCAACAGAUUGGUUAUAUACCGCAACAGAUGUGUGGCCUAUUUAUUGUUUCCAACAAAUUGAUCAUCAGCUGUAACAGGUUGGUCAUAUACUGCAAUAGAUAAUGCACAAAUAUUAUGGACUAUCUGUUAUAUAAAAAUCUUAAAUAGUGCACAAAUUUAGUGCACUGUGUAAAAAAAAUUAUAAACAAAGUGCAAAUUUAAUAUAUACAAUAAAAGAAAAUGUCAAUUUAGUAUAUACAAAAUAAAAAAUUUAUAAUAUUGUAUGAAAAAUGUAGAUAUUGUACCAAAAUACUAGAUAGUGCACUAAAUGAAAAUAAUAGAUACUAAACUAAAACAGUGCAACAUAUGACAAAAUAAAAAAAAUAAAUCAAAUUUUAGAACAAUAUAUGACAAAAAAAAAAAGUGCACUAUAUGAAAUAAAUUAAAUAAUAGAUAUAAACAAAGUGCAAUAAAUAGUGUUAUAUAUAAUAAAUAAAUAAAAAGUACAUUCAAAUCACUAUAUUAAAAAAAGUACAUUUAAAUAAUGCAAUAUAUGAAAUAAAUAAAUAAAAUAGAAUGGAUAAUGCACAAAAUAAGUGCACUAUGUAAAAUAUAAUUAAUAUUGCACUAUUUUUUUGCAAUAUAUGAAAAACAAAAUAGAUAGUGCACUAAUUAUGUUCACAUAUGAAAAAAAAAUAUAUGAUGUAAGAAUUUUCUGCAUAAUAUGAAAAAUAAAUGGAUGGUGAACAAAAAUAGUGCACCAUAUAUAUUUUUUUUUUCAUAUAGUGCACAUAAUUGAAAAAAAUAGAUGGUGCAUAUUUUUUUCAUAUAGAAAUAAAUGAGUGGAGCACAAAAAUAAUACACCAUAUAUUUUUAUCAUAAUGGAUGGUGCACUUUUUUUAGUGCACCAUAUAUAUUUUUUUCAUAUAGUGCACCAUAUAGAAAAAAAAAUGAAUGGUGCACAAAAAAAGUGCACCAUCCAACUUUAACUUCCGUUAGUCAAGCCAAUAAAAAAAGAAAGGAUGGUGCACUUUUCUUGUGCACCAAGCCUACUUUUAUCACUCUUCAAUUUGAUGGCAUGUUUUCGUCACUUUUUUUUAUUUUUGGGCAUAUUUUGGUCGUGUGUUAUAUUCCGAUCUUGAUGCGGGAUAGUAAUAACUACAAUCUCAGAAUAAAUAAUUCGAGGAUAAGUUAUCCCUCAAUUUUAUUUACUGCCAAACAUGAGAUAAACUAAUCAUAGAAUUCAUCCCAUGAUUAGUUAUACUUAUCUCUAAUACUAAACGAGUCCUAAGAGUUUUACUUUUUCAGUCUUAAAUAUAAUACUCUUACAUAUGAUUAAUUUCUUGUGGGUAUGACUUGGAUCAAAAAACAAAUACAAUAGUAAUUUUCAUCAAUACUUUUGAAUUGAUUUGGGUUUUUGUAAUGUGAGUUCUCACAUCUUAACUUCACAUGCAUGGGAUAUCACACUCUCACUUCUCUCAACCUGUCUGCCAUGAAGGUCAUCUUACCUUGCCACAUAUAACAUCGUUCUCAGUCAUAUCUCUUAUAUUAUAUUCAUAUUUGUUUGAGCAUCCUCGUAUCUAUUACGUUCUUCUUCUAAAUGUACACGUUUUGGGAUGAACAACACUUUAUCCCAUACAAAAAAAUUGAUCUAAUCGUCACUAGCUCUGUAGAACUUAUCUUUAAACAUAAUCGACAUGUUCUUGUUGCAUAAUAUCUAAGGGACGAACCUUUAUCUCAUCCACUAGGCUCUAAUGUGAAGUGUGGCUUCAUCGUCGAUCUCUCUGUUCUUGACAUAUUGACUCGAGAUGCUUAAAACUUCCUCAUUGAAAUAUAACUCGUGCAUUAAAAUCCGCUUCCACAUCUGCACCAUUUGUUGUGUUGUUGAACUUGUACUUCAUGUACUUUAUUUUAGUUAUACUUAACUUGGAACAUUUAGUCUUUAAGGUCUUAUAUCCAAAUUCCUAGACUAUUGUUAACUCCUCUACAUGUCUCAUUCAUCCAUAUUAUAUUAUUUGCGAAUAAAAUAUGGGUUAACAACAUAAAUUCCAAUACUUUGCUACCUAAUUACCCUCUCUCUCAAUAUUUAUAUUAAUUACUUAAUAUCCCGGAUAUGAUACAUAAGUUUGGUCCGAAUACAUAAUCUACAGAUACAUAACUACCAAACUAAUUGACUAUAAAAAAGAAAAAUAACAACAAAGAUUAAAUAAUGGAGCAAUUAAUGUGAUUCUAAUUGUGUAAGUAUAUCUCUUUAAUUCUUCCAUCACAAGUCUUUUAUCUUUCCCUUUAUACAGCAAAGUUUCCUCCUUUAAUCAUUCAAUAGUUGUAACAAUAAUUAAAAAAAAAAAUUAAAUUCCUAAAAUAAUUCAGAGAAUUGAAAAAACAGAAGAAAAAAACUGACCAUCCUUUAGGAGAACCAUACAAAAGGGCAGUUCACGUUUAAAAGCUUUGAUUUUUCUGAGUUCUUCUAAAGCAACAAUAAAUUGAUUGAGCUUUGUUAAUUUGUUGGAGAUGUCAUCCAUGGCAGAAACUUCAGUUAAAACAUCUGAAAUUAUUUUUGAACAUAAAUAAAGUUCAAAUAAAGCUGAAUGUAUCGGAUGAAAAAAAUAAUAUAAAUCAACUUCGACAUUUACUAUGUAUCAGAAGUAAUGAUAUAUCUCAUACUUAUGUAUCAUACUCAUAAUGUUUAAUGUAUCAGGUGUAAAACAAACUAAAACUCACAUACAAUUUUCAGAAUGUAUCAUAUAAAUCUAAAAUCUCGACAAAAUUAUCUCUAUGUAUCAUAAUAAGUAUAUUACAUGUAUCAAGAAUAAAAUUGAACCAUAAUCACGUAUAUAUUGUAUUAUGUAUCAUAACGCAUUAGCCUUGAAUCUAUGUAUCAGAUGUGGUAUAUUAAAUGUAUCAGAUGUAGUAUAUUGAAUGUAUCAUAUCUAUAAAGAGACAAAAAUCACAUGUAAAAAUUUAUGAUGUAUCAGAACGCGUGCAUUGUCAUAAAAAAUAAUUUUUUGUAACUUGCUUCUUCCUCUUUACAGAUGCAAUAAUCGAUAACUUCUUUGUCAUAACCAGGUUAUUUUGAUAUUUCAAUCGAUUUUCACUUAAAUUAAUGUCUUUCAUAUCAUAAUGAAAUGGUGGGAAUUAAAAAAGAAAGUUAAUGGUUGAUAUAUUUGCAUCAUCGAAUAUUUGGAUCGAUUAUUGCUAUCUUGCGCGUUGCACUGAUGGACUUAUUGAUGUUAUUCAUGGACUACUGGUAUUUCCAUUUCCAACAAUUACUUCACUCAACAUGAUAAUGAAAUUGUGGAAAUUUAAAAAGAAAGUUAAUGGUAAAAAUAUGAAGUUGUUAGAUUUAAUUUAGUAGAUGAGAACAUGAUGGAAAUUCAAAAGAAAGUUAAUGGAAAUUAUAACUUGAAUAUUGAAGUAGAAGAUGAAGAUGAGAACAUGGUGAAAAUUCAAAAUGAGUGAGUUGAGAAAAUUGUGGGAUGUAUUUUCUGAUUUUUAGGCUUGAUUUGUGGCACAAUAAGGGGUUGUGGGUGGGUUUUUUAAAUGUAUCAAAAAAGAGGCAACUAUUUUGAGCAAAAAUGAAUUUUUGUAAUUAGUUUGGUUGGAUAAAAUUUUAAGUAAUAAUAAAAAUUUAAGGUGUGGUUAUAAGGAAUUUAUCCAUCAAAUAUACCAUGACACCUCCCUUUAAUAUGACAUGCCAAUUUGUCCAUCAUCAAGACAUAGGAACUGAUCAAUGUCUGACACUUAGUGCAAUCCCAUCACGUUCAAUAAGGAGUCAUUUGGUAGAGUGUAUAAGAAUAAUGCAAAAUAUGGUGUAUUAGUAAUGCUUGUAUUAGUAAUGGUUGUAUUAGUUAUGCUUGCUUUAGUUAUGUUUGUAUUUUUUUUAUGUAGUGUUUGGUACGAUAUAUUAAAAAAAAACAUGAAUUAAAUUUUUUUUCUUUACAUAAUACCCUCAAUAUAUUUGUUGGAAAGGAUGCAAAAUUUUUUUGAGGGGUAAUAGGGUCUUUAAGCAUGUUAAUGCAUGCAUUAGAUCCAUUACAUUACUAAUGCCAUGGAUUUUGAGGUAUUAGUAAUACACACCUCAAUACACAAUAGAGUGUAUAAUUAAUGCUUGCAUUAGUUAUACAUAGGGUAAAAAGGUAUACCAAACAAGGUACUACUAAUACACAUUAAAAUAAUGCAAAAUAUGGUUUAUUAAUAAUGCUUGUAUUAGUUAUGCUUGCAUUAAUUAUACUUGUAUUUUUCUUAUGCAGUAUUUGGUUCGAUGUAUUAAAAAAAACAUGAAUUACAUAAUUUCUAAAAAAAAAAAACUUUUACAUAAUAUCCUCAAUAUAUAUGUUGGAAAAGAUGCGGAAAUUUUUUUAAGGAGUAAUAGGGUCUUUAAGUAUGUUAAUGUAUGCAUUAGAUUCAUUGCAUUACUAAUGCCAUGAAUUUUGAGGUGUUAAUACACACCUCAAUACACAAUGGAGUGUAUAACUAAUGCUUGCAUUAGUUAUAGAUAGGGUAAAAAAGUAUACCAAAUAAGGUACUACUAAUACACAUUAAGCUAAUGAAUGCAUUAACAUUUUAAUUGUAUGUUAUGAGUGUUAUGAGUCAUGUUCACUAUCUUACCCCGAGUCUUGUCUUCAUUGUACGUGUACUUAAUUGCUCUAUUGUAAGUAAUGAGCACACCUCUGAACUUCGAAUAUUUCUGAAUGACCUCCCUAAGGAUUUUGUAGUAAGCUCCUUCUAAGUUAAUGAACACCAUAAGUAAGUCUCUCUUAUUGUCCCUAUACUGUUCCAACGAUCUCCUUGUAAAAAUGUGCAUUCAAUAGUUGAUCGUUGUGACAUUAAUCUGAAUUGGUAUUCAAAGAUCGGCACAAGCCUCCUUAUACCUCCUCUCAACUAUUCUUUUCGAAAUGUUCACGGUAAAACUUACUAUUUUGAUACUCCCAUUGUUGUUACAAUUCUUGUGGUUCACGCAAAAAUUGUUUAUGAUAUCAAAUAUCGGUCACAUAACCACUUAUAAUUGGCAAAGGACAUAUGCUAAUGAAUUUUAAGUGAUUUUAUGACUGGUAUUUGAAAAAAUCUCAAUUAAUUGUCAGAAAAUUUAUACAAUGCAACUAACUUUAUUGAAUAAUGUGAAGUAAGCUGAAGGUUUUGUAAUGUAUCAAAAUCAGCACAAUAGGCUUUUUCUUUCAGAAAUUUUCCAAUUCAAACAAAAUGCAGAUUAUUUCAAGAAGGCAAUUUUGAAAAAUAUUUCCAGUUCCUUUAAAUUAUACUCCUAUAAACCGCCGGAGUUGAAAUAGUAAAAAACACAAUUAAGCGGACAAGUUCCUUUUCAGUUUUCCCGCCCACAAAGAAAACUAAAAUUCAAGUGCGCUUCACACGGAUCGCCGAACUUUAAAAAUCGUCGAUCCGCGAAAACCAUAGUCAGCGAAUCACAGAUAACCACGUGGAUUCUAACUAUUUGCAAUAGCCAAUAUUGAUCGUCCAUUCUCCAAUUUCAUCGACGGCUCACAAUCACGGUCCUCCUAAGCUGAAACUAACCAAUCAAAUAACAGAUCCAAAAUCCUAUAUAAAUCUCAUUCUCCAUUCAACUUCCUGGUCACUCUCUCUCAUUCACUUUACCAAAGCAAAAACAAAAAAUUUCUAUUUACCUCUCUUUGUUAGUUCUGAGCAAUGGCACCAAAAGCAACAGGGAAAAAGCCAGCUGAGAAGAAGCCAGUAGAGGAGAAGAAGGCCGAGGGAGGUCCUGCUGAGAAGAAGCCCAAGGCCGGGGAGAAGCUCCCGAAGGAGGCCANNNNNNNNNNNNNNNNNNNNNNNNNNNNNNNNNNNNNNNNNNNACAAGAUCUACAUCUUCAAGGUGCUGAAGCAGGUGCAUCCAGAUAUCGGCAUUUCCAGCAAAUCAAUGGGUAUAAUGAACAGUUUCAUUAAUGAUAUAUUUGAGAAGCUUGCUCAGGAAUCAUCUAGAUUGGCUAGGAUCAACAAGAAGCCUACUAUCACUUCCAGGGAAAUUCAGACUGCUGUGAGACUUGUGUUGCCUGGUGAAUUGGCUAAGCACGCUGUUUCUGAAGGGACCAAGGCUGUUACCAAGUUCACUAGCUCUUAGGCUUUAAUUUGGGGAUCUUUUGGGGGUGUUUUGGGUUUAUGUAAAGGCUGGUAGUUAUUUUUGAUGUCUGGUAUGUAAUCACUUCAAAUGAUUCUGUGUUUGAUCUUGUUUUAGUUUUGUUAUAUUCUUGUGAAGCUAUUUUGGUGUUAUAUGUUUCUUCAGUUGGAAUGUGUAAGCAGAACAUGCGUGUAGUUUAUUGAUUUCAGCAAGAUCACCUCUUCAGUGGUAAUUUCAGAGAAAUGUCAAAAUUUACCAAAAGUGUCUCACCAUAAUGCCUUUAACAUUUCCAAAUAAUAUGCCUUAAUUUUUCUAUUAUUGAUUGUGUAAUUAGAAUUUGAUAUUGUAAAUGUUUAUGUGGACAGUAAUUAAUUUAUGGAGGAUUCAAAUUGGUGAUAUAUACUCGAUAGAGAGCAUACCAACGAUAUUAAGUUGCCCUAUAAUUUUUUUGUAGAUUACAGAUCAUUUAUUUCUACUUUGAAGUGCAAAUCAUGUUUGAAUGAUGGUUCUUUCCUCGUUAUUCAACUAGUCUUCUUUGUUUUCCUCAUUUAUGCUUUCAGAAUGCUUUAACUUAAUGACAAGUGUUUGAGUAUGUUGAAUGUUGAUUGUGUAUCAAUCUUUAAAUUUUUUUUUUAACCUUAAUCAGCCAACUACUUUGAAAAGUGAUUGAAGUUUGCAAAUAAUGACUUACUCCCUUCACCACAUGUGAAUAUAGCAGACCAAAAUGAGGCACUUGGGCCUGGGCCUGGGAAUGUUUAUCUGGGAUCAAUUGAUUAAACAAUCCAACACAAUGUUAUUGUUGGGCCUGUGUUGAGAUACAAGUGUCAAAUAGUUAAUUGUACAAGUGAAAAUAUUGUUGUUUGUUUGAGGAUUAAGGCAGGGUAAUUGUGAUUAUAAUUAAAUAAACAAUACACCACUCAUUCCCAAAACUCUCCCUGUAUCCUCUUACUGUUGUAAUGGCUUAUAUCAAUUUGGGUGUUUAUCGUUAUCAUUGAUAUUACUGUUCGGGAUAAUUAUUGUUAAAUCUUGUCGUAGUAGUCACUACACCACAUCUCAAGGCAACAUGUUAUAUUUGUUGUUACAAACUUUUAACUUAUAGAUUCUAAGUCGUAUUUAGUGGAAAGUUCAGUUGAAAAAAUGCACUUGGGUGAUUAUCUAUUUGUAGCCUAUCGAAUUGAGCUUAUUCGUAGUAAGUGAGUCCAUGAAGUAAGUUACGAGGAGUUUAGGAGCAGAGAAUUUGAAGUCUAUGAGGAGUGGUGUGGAGGCAACUGAACGAAGAAGAGAAAAAGUUCAGUGUAAUGAAAGCGACAAUCGUGUGAGAGCAAUUCAUUGUUGCAGCACUAUAUAAUAAAAGCUCUAGUGCGUUUCAGAAUCAUUUGACUGUGGAAGUAGUCCUGAAAACUGGAGGAUUUGUUUAAUCUGGGAAGUAGUUAACUAUCCUUUAAAAAAAAAAAUAUUACUUUUUAAGGCCAUUUCUUUAUGCAAGCAUUACAUGUAGUGUGUGUAAAGUAAAUUUCACUGAUGAAUGAUGCACUCGAGUAGGAUCUCUUUAUGAAAUUCCAGUAGUUGUUUGUGAAUUGUGAUAUAUCCUUGAGAGUUGAAUCAAAUGUAGGUCUAAUCGCAAGUGGACAUCAAUCCAAAGAAAGGCACAAUUUGGAGUCUUAUGUUUAAUCCAAAGAGCAUAUAUUUGUCAAUUUGGUUUGAUGGAAUUGAGUUAUGAAUCACUUUUUGUGUUCUCUGACUUUCAAUCACACAUGUUCUCUUUGUAAUCAAUAAAAACGCUGUAAAAUGAUAUUAACAUAUAGGUGCGUCGCGUAACUAAAUUUGAAGAUGAAAAUGCAUGUUCGAAUAAAUAAUAGUGAGCUGUCCGAUUGAUGUAUAUCGUCAAAUCGAAACAAAAUCUUUUCCUUAUAGAAUUAGCUAAGCAUGCUGUUUCUGAAGAAUUAAGGCUGUUACUAAGUUCACCAGCUCUUUUGGGUUGUAAAGAAUGAUAGUUUUGGAUGUUUGAUACUGAUAGGCCUUGGUAACAUUACUGCAAAUGAAUCAAAGAUUUUCCCAGCUGAAUUUCUGCGCUGGAUCUCUUUCAGUUUUUAUUAUUUUCUUGCGAAACAAUUGGUGUUCUAUGUUUCUUCAUUUUGAAUUUGUAAACACAGCACAAGUUUAAAGUAUUACCUCCGCUUCAUUUUUUACCUGGCCCCUUACAGCCACCACUUCUCAGCGCAAGCUUUAGCAAUUAGAAUAAUUUAAUUUGGUUUUUGACAUCUGUUUUCUAGUUCUAUGUGUGUAAUAAAAUUAUUGCACGAAGCAGUAUUGCGUGAUUACAUACUUUACCUAAGGUGCGUGCUGAAAUUCAACAGAGGGGCGGGGAUGAAUUGGAAAUUUUCUGUGAGUCGAUUAUUGGCUUUUCACAGUCGACUUUCCUACAGAAUAAUACACUUCACAAAAUAGACUAGGUCCGAAAUAAUCAAGAUUCAAGGUAAUAAAUAAUCGAAUUUAAAGUAAAGUCACAAAUUUUAUCCUGGUUCGUAACAUCAAUGUAGUGCCUACUUCCAUUCACCUUGGGUUUCAGUAUUUCCUUAAUCGUUCAAUGUCGGGCUCGAGUACAAUUAUGGGAAACAAGUUUUGAAGACUUAUUUUGUUCUUCAGAUCUUGUGACACUGCUUCAGUUACGAAGUUGACUAGAUCCUACUCUUUAUACAACAAUUGUAAACUAAGAAUUACAGAGCUUCGUGAGACUAAGAUUAAGCCACUUUGUAACUCUUCUUUGAAGUUGCGUAACGUUGUGCAUCCUUAGUCUUCUUCUUUAAUAGUUUUCAACUGCUACUCUUUGUAAGGAAACCCAAGAGAUUUAUUCUCAAUCAAAGAUUUGAAUUGAUUCCUUGAUUGAGGAAAGUAGCCGUAUGAUAUGUCCAUAUCAGAUAUAUCCAUAUACGGCUUUUAUUCUCGUCCAUAUUAUAUAUGUCUGUCAUCUUUUCUUCUUUUUGGUCUUGUAGUGAUUGAUACUUUUGCAAGUUUGUUUGUGAUCUUUUCUUUCUUUUACUUCGUUGUGAUUGAUCUGAUCUGCCACGAUUCGGGAUCGGGAUCCUCUUUCCGUUUGUUUUUGUUUUGAUUGAUUCGCUUGGAUGCCGCGGAUCAUAAUUUGACCUCCUUCCAUUACUGGAGCCGGCUUCCUUACUUGCUUUCUUCAUCUUUCCAUCAUUAGAAGUUUUUCAAUAUCCUGCAAAGAUCUAUUCAUUAGUUUAUUAUUAUUAAAACGUAAACUUAGGAGGCUAACACAUGCCUCUUGGUGGUCCCUCGUCAUAUUUAAAUCAUGGGACCUUCUCUGAUUAGGUUGAUUAUGUUACAACUCAAUUAACAAUAUCAAAUUUUAUUUUUUUUGGUUUCCAUCCGGUAUACGGUAUCCAUAUUGGAGCUCGAUUAAUUCAAAUUCGCGCCAAGUAGAACCCCAUUCGGGAGAUAGCGCUCCCUUUUCAUGCCCAGAGCUCGAAAAGAAAAAGAUAUUCUCCAAAUAAUCUUAUGCAUUGUCUGAGAAUAUAGUCAUUUCCAGGGGGUAUAAAUUAAUAAAAUUCCUGCCAAUAUCUUUAUAGUGGUUUUAAGUGCUAUAUGAAUGAGAAAUGAAUUUCUGUCUUCGAAAAAGAUAAUAGAAGAAAAGAUAUCAUUUGAACAACUUCUUUUAUCUUGAAUGAGUUGCAAUAAAAGACUAGUGUCACGGGCCUAUUUGGCUCCAAAGCCCCAUAAAUGUUGAUCCGAACUUGUAAUUUGACCUUCCAAAGAUACCCUCACGUUGGCCUUGUCAAGAGACGUUGUGGAAAUCCCGUCGGGCUCCGAAAUGCACCCAAAACGUUCGGAAUUGUGUCCAAAACUGGAUGAAUUUAAUGGGUAGUGACGCGGGGCGUCACACUAGCCUCAUAUUUAAUAAUAGAUUUUCUGUAUAUUUGUUUUUCAGUCACAUACUUUGUGUGUUUCAUUCCGUCUUCAAGUUUGACAAAAUUGUUGGUUGUUUGAGGUAUCACUACGGUGUCGUUUGAUUGGGAAUAUAGUUAUAUUGGGAUUAGUUAUGUUGGGAUAAGUUAUGAUGGGAUAAGUUAUACUGGAAUUAGUUAUGCUGAGAUUAUUUUUUAUUAAGUGUUUGGUUUGUUGUUUUCAAAUUAAUAUGCAUGGUAUAAUUUCAAAGAAUAAAGUAUUUGAUUACCAAAAUACCCCUAUCUUAUUUAACUUCUUUUUUGUUUAUAUAUAUUUGUUUUCAAGCUUUAAAUAUUUAUUCUUAAAAAUAAAACUUCCAUCUUAUUUAGCUUAUUUUUUUUGUGUGUGCAUUUUCAUGUUUAUAUCGUGUGUAUUUUAAAAAUAAAUCUUUCAUCUUAUUUAACUUUAAUUUUUUUGCAUGUGCCUUCCCAUGAUUAUACUGUGUGCGUUUUAAAAAAAAUCUUACUACAACUUAUUUAGUUUGAAUUAAAAACUUCCAGCUUAAGUUUGUUAAAGUAAAAGAAGAUUUGUUGUUUAUGUCACUUCAUUUGAACACAUAUUACUCAUAUAAUAUAAAAUAUUAAAAUUCAUUUUAAUUGAUAUAUACAAUAUCAAUUUUCAAGUUAUUAAAAAACUAUUUAAUUUAAAAUAUGUAAUUGAACAAUAGAGUCGAUUGUGAAAUGAUAAUGUGUAUUAAAAUUAGACAAUGCCUUUGUACUUGUUAAAAUAUUUUAUAGAUUACUAGUGAAUAGUAAUUAUUAUUAUAAAAUCUACUUACUUUAAUUAAUCUUUUCAUUGUGUAGUAAGAACUUUUUGUGUUAUCAAUUCACAAAAAUAAUACUUGAAAGGAAAAAGUUGAUGUUGAAUUUCAUUUUUCUAUGCUUAAAAAAUUAUAGUACCUACAUUUUUUUGGAUGUAUAAAAAAUUAUAGUACCUUGUUUUGAUCCUUAUUAAUGUAUGAAUCUAACAUAUUUUAUUUUUUAAUUUGUUAAUUUUAUAUUUUGAUCCUUUAUAUAAGAAAAUAGCGUAUAAGUUUAUAAUGGGAUGAAAAAAAUGUAAAAUUUAAUUAAUAAUAGGUUAAUUUUUCUUAGUCAUAUAUUUCCUUCGUUUCAAAAUAAGAUAUUUUAGUCUUUUUAAUUUGUCAUAAAUAACACGUUUUAGAUAAUCAAGUAGAUAUCAAUAAUCUUUUUUCAAUUUCAAAAGCAAUAACUAGAGAUGAUGAAAAAGACUGGAAAAAUGUGUUUGUAAUGAAUUUGGGGGUAUUUUUGUCAUUUAUUUAUCCCGGAAUAAAUUAAGGUGGGAUAACUUAUACCACCAAAUAUGUGGUAUAACUUAUCCCGGGACUAUUAUUAAUCCCGGGAUAAGUUAUCCCAAGUAUUGCCAAACCAAACGAUGUAUUAAAAAGUUUAUCCCGAAAUUAUUAUUUUAUUUCGAGAUAACUUAUCUUAGUACCUCACACCAAACGGCCCCUACCGGUCUACUUCAACAUGUAUACUCUUUCUUAUCUUGGAGGUAGGGGUGUGCAUCGGUCGGUUCGGUUCGGUUUUACGUGUUAUUGGUUCGAUUUAUCGAUUUUUGAUUUUUAAAUAUGUAAAACCAAUGACCAACCAAUAAGAUAUUUUCUUAUCGGUUUCGGUUUAUCGGUUUUUGGUCCUUAACGGUUCGAUUUUCGGUUUAACCAAUAAGAAAAUAUUUAUAAAAUAGAAAUAGUAACAACUAACAUAAAAAAAAUGAAAUCUUAAUUACCGCAAAAACCUACGCAAUGCAUUUUAGUUUACAGGAAUCUUCAAACUUGAACUGAAUGUUAGUUAGGAAAAAAAUUGAAGCCUAACUGUUGGAAGCUAUAAAUGUUUCAAGUUUUUAUUACGAUAAUAGCCGAACUUUAUAUUAUGCAUUUGUUGCCCAAAAUAGGUUAAUAUUUUGUGAAUCACUGAAUUAUGAAUUUGUAGUACAUAUAAUCUAUAUACAUACACAUAUUUAUCUCUCUCUAUAUAUAGAGAGAUAGAUUUAAAUAUAUAAAUAAAUAGGGAUAAAACAAUAACUUAGUGUAUUCUUAUUGGUUUAUCGGUUUAACCGAUAACCCAAUAAGCUAAAACCGAUACCGAACGGUUUACCCAAUAAUUUUUUUUAUAAAACCAAUAAAAAUUUGUUAAUCCGAUAACCUAAUACCAAUAACCCAAUAAUAUUUUUAUCUGUUUGGUGUAUCGGUCGGUUCGGUUUUUCUACAGCCCUACUUGCAGGAAAUAAUCAACAUAUUAGGUAAAGUUAGAUAAUUAAAUUUUUUAAGGAUACAUAUUCUAUAGACUCGAAUGUUUUUAUAGAAUAUUUUUCUUUGUGUUUCUAAUUUAUUUGAUUCUCCUACUUAUAAUUUUGAACACAUGAUACGGAAGAUUUUUUUUUUUUUUUUUUUUGAAGAAUUAAAGAUUCAAAUGUAAUAUAUCAAGCCAUCUUAAUGAUUUUUGAAUUAAAUAAUAAUAAUAAUAAUAAUAAUAAUCAAUUACAUAAUUCAAAGCUAAGUUAUUUGAACAUUAAAAUUUUACUUGGCAUUAUCAAAAUAAAAAUACAAAUCAAAGUAGAAGGUAAAGAUAAGAAAUUUGAUUUACUAAAAAGGCAAACACCUAAAUUACAUAGCCAAGAACGCACAAUCGAUUAAUAUUACUCCAUCGAAUCAGCGAUCCGCGAAAACCAAAAGUAUCGAAUCACAGAUGACCACGUGGAUAGAAACUAUAUGCAAUAGCCAAUAUUAACCGUCCAUUCUCUACUUCAUCAACGGUUCAUAUUCACGAGCCGCGUUAGCCGAAAUUAACCAAUCAAACAACAGAAUCAAAACUCUAUAUAAUCCUCCCUUCCCCCAAUUCCAUUUCUCAUCACUCACGCAUUCUCUUCAUUUAAAUUCCAAUUCAUCUUUCUGUAAAGUCUCUCAACAAUGGCACCAAAGGCAGCAGGGAAAAAGCCAGCUGAGAAGAAGCCAGUAGAGGAGAAGAAGGCCGGGGGAGUGCCUGCUGAGAAGAAGCCCAAGGCCGGGAAGAAGCUCCCGAAGGAUGCCAGCGGCGCUGACAAGAAGAAGAAGAAGGCAAAGAAGAGCAUUGAAACCUACAAGAUCUACAUCUUCAAGGUGCUGAAGCAGGUGCAUCCAGAUAUCGGUAUCUCCAGCAAAUCAAUGGGUAUAAUGAACAGUUUCAUUAAUGAUAUAUUUGAGAAGCUUGCUCAGGAAGCUUCUAGAUUGGCUAGGAUCAACAAGAAGCCUACUAUCACUUCUAGGGAAAUUCAGACUGCUGUUAGGCUUGUGUUGCCUGGUGAAUUGGCUAAGCACGCUGUUUCUGAAGGGACCAAGGCUGUUACGAAGUUCACUAGCUCUUAGGCUUUAAAUUGGGGAUCUUUGGGGUUUUGGGUCUAUGUAAAGGUUCCUAGUUUUGGAAGUUUGAUAUGUAAUUGUCUUACUAUGAUUACUGCAAAUGAAUCAAGGCUUAUUAUCUAGUGAAAUUCUGUGUUACUUAUUAUUUUGUUUAUCGUAUUGUGGCGAUAAUAUUGGCGUUCUAUGUUUUGUCAACCGAAAUUCUUAAACAGAGCAUGAUUUGGUGUAUUGUCACUGUGAAUUGCAACGAAUAAUUGUGAUUUACCAUAAGCAUGACACCGUUCUGAUUAAGUUAUAAUCAUACUUUUGAGUUAUACCAACGAUUUCAAACUGUUCUAUAAAUUUUUUGAGUCUUGGUGUGGAGUUUAAAUACAUUUAACUGUUAUUUCUGUGGAAGAAAAUAUCCAAUAUUAUUGCCUUGUCAAAAUGCAAAUCAUUUCAAAAUGAUAUAAUUGUUUUCUGUUCUUUAAAUUAUUCUUGUUUUUUUUUUUUUUUUUUUGGGUUCUUUUCUAUCUUCUCUGUUUGCCUAAAUUUUGUUAUCUAAUAUUUGAUAACAAAAUUGAAGAGGACAUUUCAAUUUUGAAGAGGAAGUGGUUAAUUAUUGAAGAGGAUGCGUUUAAUCUGGUAAGUAGUUAAUUAUCCUUUUCAAUUCUCUUAUUAGGACAUUUCUUUAAGCAAGGAUUAUUCAUGUAUUAUUUGUUUGGUUUGGUGGAAUUGUGUUAAGUUAGAUGAAAUUAUUUUUAAGCUUUUAAUGUUUACUAAAAUGGAUUUGUAUUCUUAAUUUAUGAACUUACUUUUUAUAAUCACUUGCUUACUAUACACUUAUUCUCGUGCUAAUCAAUAAAACUUUUUAAAAUGAUAAGAAUGAUAUCAUCACAUAGGUGCAAUGGAUUAAGAAUUUUAAGUGGAUAAUGCAAGUUUAAAUUGAAAAUAAUGAGCAUAUCCGAUUUAUAUUUAAUGGCAAAUCUUUUUUUUUUGGCUUAAAAGUAUUUAAUAUCAAAUCGAAUGAAAUUUAUGUAAAAUCAUUUUUGAAUGAAUUUAAAGAAUAUCUUAAUUUUCUGGUUCAUAAAGGUUGAAGUCGCAUCUAAUUUUUUGAUAUAGCAAACAUAUGUGAAUUCAUCUACUUUUUCAAGAGAAAUGCAUCAUCAAAAUCAAUAAAAAGAUCAAUAUGGACCAUGAUUCAAAUGGGAUUGCGCUUGUCAAGCUAAGCAAGCGCUAAGCUUUUGCUAGUGGCCGGAAUGACAAUGUGAAGACUCUUUAAUGCCCAAGUUUUGAUGUAGACAACAUUCAAUUUUGUACAAGUCUAAUUAUGAUAACUUUCAUGUCUUUCACAACAAAGGAAAGAGAGUCGGCUAACAUAAUUUUUGCAUAUAUCUAAUUAUGAUAAUGCACAUGUCCUUCACAACAAAGAAAAGAGUGGCGGCUAUUAUGCCUUUAUUUAACAUGGAAUGAAUUCAUCAAGUCAGAAAUUUAUACUUAGCUAAGGAGAACAUGAAGCAUCUAUUGAAGGACGAGCAAAGAAAAUUUUCACCACCUAUUGCAUAAUACUGAAACAAUCAUAUCUAGUUGUUUGAGUCUAAUGAAUGAAGUUUAGAAUUUGAAUUUGGAGUUGUAAUUUUAAACCUUAUUUGAGCUAGUUAAUUUGAGUUUUGAUUGUUACUCUUUAGGAUGGGUCUUUCAUAUAAAUAAAUUAUUCAAUUUCUUUAUAAUUUAGGUGAAAUCUGGUUGGAACAAGUUUUUCCACAAAGCCAUGUUGUUCACUUGAAAUUCUAAACCAAGAAGACUCAAAUAAAUCAUAUCUUCUUCAUUUUCGUUUGUUUUCUCCCUCCUUUCGCUGGAGUUGUCGGUGACUUAAAAAAGUUAAAUUGGAUGGAGAAAAAAUAUUUUCUUAGUAGUAUUUUUUAUGUUUAUUUUUAUUGAUUCAUAACAGAUGUUGUACACCCUUAAUAAAUACUCCUCCCAUAUUAUUUUACUUUAUCUCAAAUUUUUUAAUUUGAUUUCUCGUUUUACUUGUCAUUUUUUAUAAAUUAAUAAGAGACAAAUUUUUCCCCAUAUUUUAUCCUUUAUAUUAAUUACUUUUUCUUCAAAUUAUAAUGUAAACAUCAUAGUAUAGUAGCCAUAUUAUUAAUUAUUUUUUUAAUUAAUGUACCAAAUUAAUUUGGGACAAGUAAAAUGUGAGGAAAGAAUAAUAAAUAAAAAGCAUAUUUUAUCAUGAAACGCCCAUCAGUGAUUUAUAAUUUGAUGAACUUGAAAAAGAUACUCUUAUGAUAUAAUUAAUGAAGGAUAAAUUAGAAAAGAAAUAAUUUUCUCGAGUCAACAAAUAAAAUUUAGAAUAUACUUCUCUGUUUAUCUUUACUUGUUCAUUUUUUUAUUUUGGGUUGUCUAACAAUAUUUGUUUAACAUAAAAAUAAUAAUAUAUUAUUAUUUUUAACUAUUUAUUUUUAGUACUAAAUACGAUUUAUUUUUAAUUUUUUUAUGAUUCAAUUUUACUUCUAUCAUCUCCUACUUUUUAAUUUUGAUGUCAAUAAAAUAAAUAAAUAAAAAUAAAUGGAGGAAAUAUUUUGGGAAAGGAAAAGGUGAGGGAGGAAGUAUUUUUUCACUUCGUAAACAAUUAAUACAGCCAUUACUGAUCGUCCAUUCCCCCCUUCAUCAACGGUUAACAUUCAUGAUCCACGCUAACCUAAUGUAACCAAUCAAACAACAGAAUCGAAACCCUAUAUAAUUAUCACUUCACCGAUUCCAUGCCUCAUCACUCACGCAUUUUCCUCAUCACAAUUUCCAUUAAUCACUCUGUGAAAUCUCUCAACAAUGGCACCAAAGGCAACUGGGAAAAAGCCAGUACAAGAGAAGAAGGCUGAGGGAGUUCCUAAGAAGCCCAAAGCCGGGAAGAAGCUCCCAAAGGAUGCUGGCAGCGCUGACAAGAAGAAGAAGAAGGCAAAGAAGAGCAUUGAAACCUAUAAGAUCUACAUCUUCAAGGUGCUCAAACAGGUGCAUCCAGAUAUUGGCAUUUCCAGCAAAUCAAUGGGUAUAAUGAACAGUUUCAUUAAUGAUAUAUUUGAGAAGCUUGCUCAGGAAUCAUCUAGAUUAGCUAGGAUCAACAAGAAGCCUACUAUCACUUCUAGGGAAAUUCAGACUGCUGUGAGGCUUGUGUUGCCUGGUGAAUUGGCUAAGCACGCUGUUUCUGAAGGGACCAAAGUUGUCACUAAGUUUACUAGCUCUUAGGCUUUUAGUUUGGGGGAUCUUUUGGGUUUUUGGUCUAUGUAAAAGCUGGAAGGCUUUGGUGUUUAAUAUG
rnacentral:lncRNA from 1 species